GCGGUCUAGUCAUUCUAUACGUCAUUGGUUCUUCCCCUCUCUCUCUGUGGACUUUUGCAGAAGGAAACGACAUGUCCGUGUUCCUGUUCCUCAUUUUGUUCUGCGCCACAUUUGAGUCAGCAGGUUCAGUCCAGAGAAUCGUCUCAGCUGUUGAAGGACAAAAUGCCACUCUGCCAUGUCAAGCUCCGAACAAAGAUCAGACCAUCUUGGCGGUAGAAUGGAGCAGACCGGACCUGGAAAAGAAACUGUAUAUUUUCUUAUACAGAGACGGACACAUCGAUCCAGAUAAUCAUCCUUCUUAUAAGAACAGAGUGAAUCUGAAGGACAGAGCGAUGAAGGACGGAGACGUGAGUCUGAUCCUGAGGAGCGUGAUGCCUGCUGACGGAGGAAUCUAUGAGUGUUAUGUUGUCCAGAGUGAAGGAAACACGUUCACCAGCUCCAUCUCUCUGUCGGUGGCAGCAGCUGCAGGACACACAGGACGACUUGGAGAGGAUGGAGGGAGAGAGGAUGGAGGGAAAGGACAUGAUGGACUGAUUGCUGGUGUGACUGUAGCUGCUUUGGCUGCUGUUGCUGGUGUUGUGAUGUUUCUAAGAUACAAGAAGAUAAAGGUAAAAAUGAACACUAAAGACGAUGGAGACCCAGAAGAUCAAUCUGGACUCAGAGAGUCUUCAGCCUUUCAAUGAAAAAUUAAGACUAAAUCAUAGAAAAUAAGGAAGAUGAAAGCUUUCGUUUGUUUCCAACGUAUGUAUCAUUUUUUUAACAGAGCUUAAAGCUGGGGUUGGCGAUCUUGGAAAACUAGCAUGUAGCACAAAUGUAGCAUCUCCCCAAGGCUCCGCCCAGCUCCCACCCCAUUGG